GACGAACGCUGGCGGCGUGCCUAAUACAUGCAAGUUGAGCGCUGAAGGUUGGUACUUGUACCAACUGGAUGAGCAGCGAACGGGUGAGUAACGCGUGGGGAAUCUGCCUUUGAGCGGGGGACAACAUUUGGAAACGAAUGCUAAUACCGCAUAAAAACUUUAAACGCAAGUUUUAAGUUUGAAAGAUGCAAUUGCAUCACUCAAAGAUGAUCCCGCGUUGUAUUAGCUAGUUGGUGAGGUAAAGGCUCACCAAGGCGAUGAUACAUAGCCGACCUGAGAGGGUGAUCGGCCACAUUGGGACUGAGACACGGCCCAAACUCCUACGGGAGGCAGCAGUAGGGAAUCUUCGGAAAUGGACGAAAGUCUGACCGAGCAACGCCGCGUGAGUGAAGAAGGUUUUCGGAUCGUAAAACUCUGUUGGUAGAGAAGAACGUUGGUGAGAGUGGAAAGCUCAUCAAGUGACGGUAACUACCCAGAAAGGGACGGCUAACUACGUG
rnacentral:rRNA from 1 species